GACGAACGCUGGCGGCGUGCUUAACACAUGCAAGUCGAACGAAGAGCGAUGGAAGCUUGCUUCUAUCAAUCUUAGUGGCGAACGGGUGAGUAACGCGUAAUCAACCUGCCCUUCAGAGGGGGACAACAGUUGGAAAUGACUGCUAAUACCGCAUACGAUCUAAUCUCGGCAUCGAGGAUAGAUGAAAGGUGGCCUCUACAUGUAAGCUAUCACUGAAGGAGGGGAUUGCGUCUGAUUAGCUAGUUGGAGGGGUAACGGCCCACCAAGGCGAUGAUCAGUAGCCGGUCUGAGAGGAUGAACGGCCACAUUGGGACUGAGACACGGCCCAGACUCCUACGGGAGGCAGCAGUGGGGAAUCUUCCGCAAUGGACGAAAGUCUGACGGAGCAACGCCGCGUGAGUGAUGACGGCCUUCGGGUUGUAAAGCUCUGUUAAUCGGGACGAAAGGCCUUCUUGCGAAUAGUGAGAAGGAUUGACGGUACCGGAAUAGAAAGCCACGGCUAACUACGUG
rnacentral:rRNA from 1 species